CACCAGCGCCCGACAGAUGGGGCUUUAAAGACAGAAAAUUUUAUCAAGACCUCCACAAACCAGACCCCAGAUUCCCUCAAUCGUUGAGUGAGUCCCGGGACUCGCUCCACAGGGCCAGGAUGUUCAGGGACCUAGGCUGAGCUGUCAGUGUGAGGUGACUGAGUGGGAUGUGAGGUGUCUGAGUGGGGUGUGAGGUGUCUGAGUGGGGUGUGAGGUGCCUGAGUGGGGUGUGAGGUGUCUGAGUGGGGUGUGAGGUGACUGAGUGGGGUGUGAGGUGACUGAGUGGGGUGUGAGGUGGGGACUGGAGGGGCUGCAGUUCAGGUCACCCUCAGCCUGAUACCCAGAGGAGCUUAAAGGAGUUCCCAGGGGGAGGGUAAACACACAGGGUGUCUGAGGGUGUGUCCCUGUCUGUGCAUAACAGCCAAGGAGGCCUCAGAAGACAGGGAUCCUGGGCCUUGGAAAUUUGUCCUGAAGGAAGGCUGCCUGGAAAACUUCCCAGGGCCUGGCCGGGCAGGAGCAGGCUUUGAUUGACAGGAGGCAAAACACUGACGCCAAGUCUACCUGGGAUUGGCUCUGGCCUCCAGCUGCGCCCACACCUACCUUAGCAGGAAGGAAACUUUGGAGCCAACCUUGCCCAGACUGCCCGGCCUGGACUGAAAACUGCUAAAACACACGUGGUCAUCCACUCAGCAGGUCCUCUCCCACACCAAGUGGGCUGGCCGGUUUCUAGAUCCUUCAUAAGUGAGGGGUUGUGAAGAGGGUGUGCCGUGCCCUCCUAAGGGGGCAGGAAGGGGUCACAGCCCAGGCACUCCGAGUGGAAAGGGAGAGAAAAGCCUGCUGUUUGUCCAGGAGCUGAACAGACACUGGAGCUCUUGUCCUGGGGGGAGCGGGGGAGGCCCUGUGGCCAG
rnacentral:lncRNA from 1 species